rnacentral:rRNA from 1 species
UACGUAUGCAGCAAGCGUUGUUCGGAGUUACUGGGCGUAAAGGGUGCGUAGGCGGUCCUAUAAGUAUGGUGUGAAAUCUCCCGGCUUAACUGGGAGGGUGCGCUAUAGACUGUGGGACUAGAGUGUGGGAGAGGAAAGUGGAAUUCCUGGUGUAGCGGUGAAAUGCGUAGAUAUCAGGAGGAACACCGGUGGUGUAAACGGCUUUCUGGACCAUAACUGACGCUGAGGCACGAAAGCGUGGGUAGCAAACAGG